rnacentral:rRNA from 1 species
AUGGAGGGUGCGGCGGAGGACAAGUUCCCGGCCGGGUUACGAGUCCUCGCCGUGGACGACGACUGCGUCUGCCUCAAGCAACAGACUGUGACGGAUGCCAAGACGGCGUUGAAGAUUCUCAGGUCGGGGAAGGAGAAGUUCGAUGUGGUCAUCACCGACGUGCGCAUGCAGGACAUGGACAGCUUCAAGCUCCUCGAGCUCAUCCGCCUCGAGAUGGAUCUGCCCGUCAUCAGUACACUCACUGCUCAAUUCUAA